UACGUAGGGUGCAAGCGUUAAUCGGAAUUACUGGGCGUAAAGCGUGCGCAGGCGGUGAUGUAAGACAGGUGUGAAAUCCCCGGGCUUAACCUGGGAACUGCAUUUGUGACUGCAUCGCUGGAGUGCGGCAGAGGGGGAUGGAAUUCCGCGUGUAGCAGUGAAAUGCGUAGAUAUGCGGAGGAACACCGAUGGCGAAGGCAAUCCCCUGGGCCUGCACUGACGCUCAUGCACGAAAGCGUGGGGAGCAAACAG
rnacentral:rRNA from 1 species